AUACUUACCUGGCAGAGGAGAUACCAUGAUCACGAAGGUGGUUUUCCCAGGGCGAGGCUUAUCCAUUGCACUCCGGAUGUGCUGACCCCUGCGAUUUCCCCAAAUGCGGGAAACUCGACUGCAUAAUUUGUGGUAGUGGGGGACUGCGUUCGCGCUCUCCCCUG
rnacentral:snRNA from 1 species